UUGCCCCGUGACAGAAUCAUUUCAUCUCCAAGAAGAGAUUUCAAAUUACUCGCGCACUGCCGGGCACCGAUGGCGGAGCACAGCCAGCGCCACACACGACAGCCGCGAGUCACUGUCGGGAAGGACUGGCUAAAUGUUUCCGUCGCCUUUGAGGAGAUGAUCGCUUAAACGGGACGGCAAAGAGCAGCAGGCCAGAAGUUCCAGACCUUGAUAAACUGAAGUCAGCAACCUCAGUUCCCCAUUGUUUACGCCCCACGGUAAUGACCUAACCGCUCAGAGAACUAAGGGCAAGGACUCCUGCCCGGGACACGAGAGUGCUGGCUCACCACCCCUCUGCUUCCCCCAGCCCCCGGGACCUACCUGCCCUGGUGCUCAACAGGAAGAUAAAAAUCGGCUGCUGUCCGAAGUUCUUAAUGGCCAGGUGCCGCUCUUCGCCUCUCACGGAACCAUCCACACGCUCAUAGCUGUAACCUUCAGGCAGGAAAGAACAGAGACACAUGAGCCCUUUCCAGGUGUUGUCUAGGGAAUAAAACAUUGUCGGCU